rnacentral:misc_RNA from 1 species
AGCAGCCGCGGUAAUUCCAGCUCCAAUAGCGUAUAUUAAAGUUGUUGCAGUUAAAAAGCUCGUAGUUGAAUUUCGGGAUUGGCGUAUCGGUCGUGCCUCACGGGGUAUGAACUGGUGCAGUCAAUUUCUCACCUUCUGGAGAACCGCGAUGUCCUUAAUUGGAUGCCGUGGGGAACCAGGACCUUUACUUUGAAAAAUUGAGUGUUUAAAGCGGGCAUUUUUGCUUGAAUACAUUAGCAUGGAAUAAUAAAAUAGGACGGCAUGGUUCUAUUUUGUUGGUUUCUAGGACCACCGUAAUGAUUAAUAGGGAUAGUUGGGGGCAUUAGUAUUCAAUUGUCAGAGGUGAAAUUCUUGGAUUUAUUGAAGACUAACUACUGCGAAAGCAUUUGCCAAGGAUGUUUUCAUUAAUCAAGAACGAAAGUUAGGGGAUCGAAGACGAUCGGAUACCGUCGUAGUCUUAACCAUAAACUAUGCCGACUAGGAAUCAGACGAUGUUAAUUUUUAAUGACUCGUUUGGCAC